rnacentral:rRNA from 1 species
UGCGUAGAGAUCUGGAGGAAUACCGAUGGCGAAGGCAGCCUUCUGGCAUAAUACUGACACUGAGGCUCGAAAGCGUGGGUAGCAAACAGGAUUAGAUACCCUGGUAGUCCACGCCGUAAACGAUGUCUACUAGUCGUUGGGUCCCUUGAGGACUUAGUGACGCAGCUAACGCAAUAAGUAGACCGCCUGGGGAGUACGGCCGCAAGGUUAAAACUCAAAUGAAUUGACGGGGGCCCGCACAAGCGGUGGAGCAUGUGGUUUAAUUCGAUGCAACGCGAAGAACCUUACCUGGUCUUGACAUAUCUAGAAUCCUGCAGAGAUGCGGGAGUGCCUUCGGGAAUUAGAAUACAGGUGCUGCAUGGCUGUCGUCAGCUCGUGUCGUGAGAUGUUGGGUUAAGUCCCGCAACGAGCGCAACCCUUGUCCUUAGUUACCAGCGGGUUAAGCCGGGAACUCUAAGGAUACUGCCAGUGACAAACUGGAGGAAGGCGGGGACGACGUCAAGUCAUCAUGGCCCUUACGACCAGGGCUACACACGUGCUACAAUGGUAGGUACAGAGGGCAGCUACACAGCGAUGUGAUGCGAAUCUCAAAAAGCCUAUCGUAGUCCAGAUUGGAGUCUGCAACUCGACUCCA